GACGAACGCUGGCGGCGUGCUUAACACAUGCAAGUCGAACGGAAAGGCCCUGCUUUUGUGGGGUGCUCGAGUGGCGAACGGGUGAGUAACACGUGAGUAACCUGCCCUUGACUUUGGGAUAACUUCAGGAAACUGGGGCUAAUACCGGAUAGGAGCUCCUGCUGCAUGGUGGGGGUUGGAAAGUUUCGGCGGUUGGGGAUGGACUCGCGGCUUAUCAGCUGGUUGGUGGGGUAGUGGCUUACCAAGGCUUUGACGGGUAGCCGGCCUGAGAGGGUGACCGGCCACAAUGGGACUGAGAUACGGCCCAGACUCCUACGGGAGGCAGCAGUGGGGAAUAUUGCACAGUGGGCGGGAGCCUGAUGCAACGACGCCGCGUGCGGGAUGACGGCCUUCGGGUUGUAAACCGCUUUCGCCUGUGACGAAGCGUGAGUGACGGUAAUGGGUAAAGAAGCACCGGCUAACUACGUG
rnacentral:rRNA from 1 species